rnacentral:rRNA from 1 species
GCAAGUCGAGGGGUAACAGGGAAGCUUGCUUCCGCUGACGACCGGCGCACGGGUGCGUAACGCGUAUGCAACCUACCUUUAACUGGGGGAUAGCCCCGAGAAAUCGGGAUUAAUACCGCAUAACACUGUGAUAUGGCAUCAUAUUACAUUUAAAACUCCGGUGGUUAAAGAUGGGCAUGCGUGACAUUAGUUAGUUGGUAGGGUAACGGCUUACCAAGACUACGAUGUCUAGGGGUUCUGAGAGGAUGAUC